UUUCAGGGUAGCAAUAUUCUGAAGUUGGAGUGGCGCAAGGGUGCGUAACACGUGGGUAAUUUACCAUGAAGUUGGGGGUAACUCGCUGAAAGGCGAGCUAAUACCGAAUGUGGUCAUUGGAAGGCAUCUUUUGAUGACUAAAGUUGGGGACCGUAAGGCCUGACGCUUCAUGAUAAGCCCGCGGCCUAUCAGCUAGUUGGUGAGGUAACGGCUCACCAAGGCUAAGACGGGUAGCUGGUCUGAGAGGACGACCAGCCUCACUGGAACUGAGACACGGUCCAGACACCUACGGGUGGCAGCAGUCGAGAAUUUUUCUCAAUGGGCGAAAGCCUGAAGGAGCGACGCCGCGUGGGGGAUGAAGGGCUUCGGCUCGUAAACCCCUGUCAUUUGCGAACAAACCUUACGAUCUAACAAGUCGUGAGCUGAUUGUAGCGAAAGAGGAAGGGACGGCUAACUCUGUGCCAGCAGCCGCGGUAAUACAGAGGUCCCAAGCGUUGUUCGGAUUCACUGGGCGUAAAGGGUGCGUAGGUGGCGGGGUAAGUUUGAUGUGAAAUCUCCGAGCUCAACUCGGAAACUGCAUUGAAUACUAUCCUGCUAGAGGGUUGGAGGGGAGACUGGAAUUCUCGGUGUAGCAGUGAAAUGCGUAGAUAUCGAGAGGAACACCAGUGGCGAAGGCGAGUCUCUGGACAAUUCCUGACACUGAGGCACGAAAGCUAGGGGAGCAAACAGGAUUAGAUACCCUGGUAGUCCUAGCCGUAAACGGUGCACGUUUGCUGUAAAAGGAAUCGACCCCUUUUGUGGCGUAGCC
rnacentral:rRNA from 1 species